rnacentral:tRNA from 1 species
UCCCUGGUGGCUCAGUAGGUAAAGCAUCUGCCUGAAAUGCAGACCUGGGUUCGAUCCCUAGGUCGGGAA